ACCCCUUAGCUUAGCGGUCAGAGCGUGCAACUCAUAAUCGCCCGGUCGCUGGUUCAAAUCCAGCAGGGGCCACCA
rnacentral:tRNA from 1 species